rnacentral:rRNA from 1 species
CCCUUAGAUGUUCUGGGCCGCACGCGCGCUACACUGAUGCAUUCAACGAGCCUAUCCUUGACCGACAGGCCCGGGUAAUCUUUGAAUCUGCAUCGUGACGGGGAUAGAUUAUUGCAAUUAUUAAUCUUCAACGAGGAAUGCCUAGUAGGCGCAAGUCAUCAGCUUGCGUCGAUUACGUCCCUGCCCUUUGUACACACCGCCCGUCGCUCCUACCGAUUGGGUGUGCUGGUGAAAUGUUCGGAUCGGCCGUUUGUUGCGGUUUCCGCGUCAUGUGGCUGAGAAGUUCAUUAAACCCUCCCACCUAGAGGAAGGAGAAGUCGUAACA